rnacentral:rRNA from 1 species
ACCGGGGCGACAGCAAUAUGAAGGUCAGGCUGAAGACCUUACCCGAUUAGCUGAGAGGUGGUGCAUGGCCGUCGUCAGUUCGUACUGUGAAGCAUCCUGUUAAGUCAGGCAACGAGCGAGACCCACGUCCACAGUUGCCAGCAUACCCUCCGGGGUGAUGGGUACACUGUGGAGACCGCCGCUGCUAAAGCGGAGGAAGGAGUGGGCAACGGUAGGUCAGUAUGCCCCGAAUCUCCCGGGCUACACGUGGGCUACAAUGGUUGGUACAAUGGGCAUCUACCCCGAAAGGGGAAGGAAAUCUCUUAAAGCCAAUCGUAGUUCGGAUUGAGGGCUGCAACUCGCCCUCAUGAAGCUGGAAUCCGUAGUAAUCGCGUUUCAACAGAACGCGGUGAAUACGUCCCUGCUCCUU